ACGCUGGCGGCAGGCCUAACACAUGCAAGUCGAGCGGUAGAGAGAAGCUUGCUUCUCUUGAGAGCGGCGGACGGGUGAGUAAUGCCUAGGAAUCUGCCUGGUAGUGGGGGAUAACGUUCGGAAACGGACGCUAAUACCGCAUACGUCCUACGGGAGAAAGCAGGGGACCUUCGGGCCUUGCGCUAUCAGAUGAGCCUAGGUCGGAUUAGCUAGUUGGUGGGGUAAUGGCUCACCAAGGCGACGAUCCGUAACUGGUCUGAGAGGAUGAUCAGUCACACUGGAACUGAGACACGGUCCAGACUCCUACGGGAGGCAGCAGUGGGGAAUAUUGGACAAUGGGCGAAAGCCUGAUCCAGCCAUGCCGCGUGUGUGAAGAAGGUCUUCGGAUUGUAAAGCACUUUAAGUUGGGAGGAAGGGCAGUUGCCUAAUACGUAACUGUUUUGACGUUACCGACAGAAUAAGCACCGGCUAACUCUGUGCCAGCAGCCGCGGUAAUACAGAGGGUGCAAGCGUUAAUCGGAAUUACUGGGCGUAAAGCGCGCGUAGGUGGUUCGUUAAGUUGGAUGUGAAAUCCCCGGGCUCAACCUGGGAACUGCAUUCAAAACUGACGAGCUAGAGUAUGGUAGAGGGGUGGUGGAAUUUCCUGGUGUAGCGGUGAAAU
rnacentral:rRNA from 1 species